ACGUAGGUGGCGAGCGUUAUUCGGAUUUACUGGGCGUAAAGGGUUCGUAGGGGGUUUGUCAAGUCUGAUGUGAAAUCCCGCGGCUCAACCGCGGACGUGCAUUGGAUACUGCCGAACUAGAGUUCUUGAUGGGAAAGCGGAAUUCCAGGUGUAGCGGUGGAAUGCGUAGAUAUCUGGAAGAACACCGGUGGCGAAGGCGGCUUUCUGGCAAGACACUGACCCUGAUGGACGAAAGCGUGGGUAGCAAACAGG
rnacentral:rRNA from 1 species